AUACAGACCCUUACAGUUUAACAGAUGAAGCUGAUGUAAUGUCUCUGAUGUUUCUGAGAGUUUCCUCUGGGAGCUACGUUUGUUUGUGGUUUGUCAGAACUGAACUUUCCUCUUAACAGCACGUCUUCCGACAACUUUCAGUUCAACCCAUCAUCUUGUUUACUACAUAAAUACUGAACAGUGCAGUCCACACGUUUUGCUUUAGGUUCUGAGAAGAAAUGUAAGUAGAAAUUGAUAAUGUGGGUGCAGUUCUGAAUUCCGGCCCCUAGGGGGCUCUAGUGUUUAUUAUAUCUCUUCUGUUUUUGCCAACAUUAAACAGUGAAGGCCUGUUGGACACUUUGUGAAGUUCAGAUCAGAUCAUUGACGAUGAUCUCCUGGAGCUGAAGCUGCAGUCAUGAGCAUCCGUCCUCGUUCUCUCGUCCUGGGUCUGCUGAUCAUCUUCUCCUAUCUGUUCUGUGCAGUGGCAGAUUAUGCAAAUGCACCCCCGGAAUGCUGUUUCAGUUUCUAUACCAGUCCAAUCCAUCCAUCUCUCCUUACUAAAUACGAAGAAUCUGACCCCAACUGUUCAAGAGCUGGAGUGGUUUUUACCAUCAAGAAGGGUGUUCGUGUGUGUGUGGACCCCAGCUUUAAGUGGGUGAAGAGAGCCAUGGACAUAAUCGAUCGUCGAACUGAGGAAGGUUUAGACUCAACUCAGCUGAGUGGUUAAAUCUUCCCUCUAUUAAUGGGAAAUCAACUCCUUUUAAUAUUCCAGCUCUUUAUUACUAUAGCAGUGUACUCGUCUCUGAUUGGGCGAAGGAAUAAAGCUUUUCUGUUUUUUAUUAAGUUACCUUUGAACAUUAAGUACAGACUGGAGGAAUGUGGUAUAUAUCAGAAUGAAUCGAAUGUAAUAAAUGUCUUUAAUGUCUUAUUAAAAGUAUUUUUUAUUCAGGAUGAUUUCUUUUCACACUUUUAAAUAUACAGAAAACAUUUACAGAUAAUUGUGUUGAAGUCUGUAAUCUGUGCCUGCACAAAUGUAAUAAAUAUAAUAAUAUAUAAUGAUUUUAAUAUUAUAAAAUCUACACCAACAUUUUUCAAUAUUUCAAGUACUUUGGGAUCAACAAGAGUUUAUUAAAUGAAGUCAUAUACUGUAAUUCUCUGUUUAGACUAAUAUAUAUCAAGUUAUGUGCCUUAAGAUUAGAAUAUCAUUUGAUGAAGCACGUGUAAUGUUAAUUUUAUAAGAAUUGCACUCCUGAUGUUCUACAGACUUUUAGUACUACAGCUCUGUUCAUCAUUCUGGACACAUCAAAGUUACUUUAUUUUAUUUACAGCUUCUAUUUCAUGAUUUGGGGUCUGAAAUUGUAAAAUAUUAUCAUGUUUUCUUAACUCUUAUGUGAGUGAGAGUUUCUGUCUUGUCACUUUUUUCUGUAAUAAAGUAAUAAACAUGCUAAAUAUGUUACAUA